GAUGAACGCUGGCGGCGUGCCUAAUACAUGCAAGUCGAGCGAACGGACGAGAAGCUUGCUUCUCUGAUGUUAGCGGCGGACAGGUGAGUAACACGUGGAUAACCUACCUAUAAGACUGGGAUAACUUCGGGAAACCGGAGCUACUACCGGAUAAUAUUUUGAACCGCAUGGUUCAAAAGUGAAAGACGGUCUUGCUGUCACUUAUAGAUGGAUCCGCGCUGCAUUAGCUAGUUGGUAAGGUAACGGCUUACCAAGGCAACGAUGCAUAGCCGACCUGAGAGGGUGAUCAGCCACACUGGAACUGAGACACGGUCCAGACUCCUACGGGAGGCAGCAGUAGGGAAUCUUCCGCAAUGGGCGAAAGCCUGACGGAGCAACGCCGCGUGAGUGAUGAAGGUCUUCGGAUCGUAAAGCUCUGUUAUUAGGGAAGAACAUAUGUGUAAGUAACUGUGCACAUCUUGACGGUACCUAAUCAGAAAGCCACGGCUAACUACGUG
rnacentral:rRNA from 1 species